rnacentral:rRNA from 1 species
AGGGAAUAUUGCAAAAUGGGCGAAAGCCCGAUGCAGCAACGCCGCGUGGGCGAUGAAGGCCUUCGGGUCGUAAAGCCCUUUUUGAGGGGAUGAGGAAGGACAGUACCCUCAGAAUAAGCCUCGGCUAACUACGUGCCAGCAGCCGCGGUAAUACGUAGGGGGCAAGCGUUGUCCGGAUUUACUGGGUGUAAAGGGCGCGCAGGCGGGAUAAAAAGUCAGUGGUGAAAUCCUACAGCUUAACUGUAGAACUGCCUUUGAUACUUUUAUUCUUGAGUUCGGGAGAGAGAGACUGAAUUCCAGGUGUAGUGGUGAAAUACGUAGAUAUCUGGAAGAACACCAGUUGCGAAGGCGGUCUCUUGGUCCGACACUGACGCUGAGGCGCGGAAGCGUGGGGAGCAAACA